rnacentral:rRNA from 1 species
GCUUGCUAGUUAGGCGACGAGUGGCGGACGGGUGAGUAAUACUUAGGAAUCUGCCUUAUAGCUGGGGAUAACGUGGUGAAAACCACGCUAAUACCGAAUAAGCCCUACGGGGGAAAGCGGGGGAUCUUCGGACCUCGCACUAUUAGAUGAGCCUAAGCCGGAUUAGCUAGUUGGUAGGGUAAUGGCCUACCAAGGCAACGAUCCGUAGCUGGUCUGAGAGGACGACCAGCCACACUGGGACUGAGACACGGCCCAGACUCCUACGGGAGGCAGCAGUCGGGAAUAUUGGACAAUGGGCGCAAGCCUGAUCCAGCAAUGCCGCGUGUGUGAAGAAGGCCUGCGGGUUGUAAAGCACUUUCAAAAGUGAAGAAAAGUAGAGUGUUAAUAGCACUUUGCCUUGACGUUAGCUUUAGAAGAAGCACCGGCUAAUUUAGUGCCAGCAGCCGCGGUAAUACUAAAGGUGCGAGCGUUAAUCGGAAUUACUGGGCGUAAAGCGCGCGCAGGCGGCUUAGUAAGUUGGGUGUGAAAUCCCCGGGCUCAACCCGGGAACUGCAUUCAAAACUGCUAGGCUAGAGUGUAAGAGAGGAUUGUGGAAUUCCGGGUGUAGCGGUGAAAUGCGUAGAUAUCCGGAGGAACAUCAGUGGCGAAGG